rnacentral:rRNA from 1 species
UAAGCGGAGGAAAAGAAACUAACAAGGAUUCCCCUAGUAACGGCGAGUGAAGCGGGAAAAGCUCAAAUUUGAAAUCUGGUAGCCUCAGGCUGCCCGAGUUGUAAUCUAUAGAAACGUUUUCCGCGUUGGCCCAUGUACAAGUCUCCUGGAAUGGAGCGUCAUAGAGGGUGAGAAUCCCGUCCUUGACAUGGACUACCAGUGCUUUGUGAUACGUUUUCAAAGAGUCGAGUUGUUUGGGAAUGCAGCUCAAAAUGGGUGGUAAAUUCCAUCUAAAGCUAAAUAUUGGCGAGAGACCGAUAGCGAACAAGUACCGUGAGGGAAAGAUGAAAAGCACUUUGGAAAGAGAGUUAAACAGUAUGUGAAAUUGUUGAAAGGGAAACGAUUGAAGUCAGUCAUGUCUAUUGGACUCAGCCGGUUCUGCCGGUGUACUUCCUUUAGAUGGGGUCAACAUCAGUUUUGAUCGCUGGAAAAGGGCAGGAGGAAUGUAGCACUCUCGGGUGAACUUAUAGCCUUCUGUCGUAUACAGUGGUUGGGACUGAGGAACGCAGCAUGCCUUUAUGGCCGGGGUUCGCCCACGUACAUGCUUAGGAUGUUGACAUAAUGGCUUUAAACGACCCGUCUUGAAACACG